rnacentral:rRNA from 1 species
UGGGGAAUCUUGCACAAUGGGGGCAACCCUGAUGCAGCGACGCCGCGUGAGCGAUGAAGCCCUUCGGGGCGUAAAGCUCUUUCGACCGGAACGAUAAUGACGGUACCGGGAGAAGAAGCUGCGGCUAACUACGUGCCAGCAGCCGCGGUAAUACGUAGGCAGCAAGCGUUGUUCGGAGUUACUGGGCGUAAAGAGUGCGUAGGCGGUUUUCUAAGUUCGGUGUGAAAUCUCCCGGCUUAACUGGGAGGGUGCGCCGAAGACUGGGAAGCUGGAGUGUGGGAAAGGCAGGCGGAAUUCCUGGUGUAGCGGUGAAAUGCGUAGAUAUCAGGAGGAACACCGGCGGUGUAGACGGCUGGCUAGACCGUAACUGACGCUGAGACACGAAAGCGUGGGUAGCAAACA